rnacentral:rRNA from 1 species
AACGGCAGCGCGGGGCAACCUGGCGGCGAGUGGCGAACGGGUGAGUAAUAUAUCGGAACGUACCCAAGAGUGGGGGAUAACGUAGCGAAAGUUACGCUAAUACCGCAUACGAUCUAUGGAUGAAAGUGGGGGAUCGCAAGACCUCAUGCUCCUGGAGCGGCCGAUAUCUGAUUAGCUAGUUGGUGAGGUAAAGGCUCACCAAGGCGACGAUCAGUAGCUGGUCUGAGAGGACGACCAGCCACACUGGAACUGAGACACGGUCCAGACUCCUACGGGAGGCAGCAGUGGGGAAUUUUGGACAAUGGGCGCAAGCCUGAUCCAGCAAUGCCGCGUGAGUGAAGAAGGCCUUCGGGUUGUAAAGCUCUUUUGUCAGGGAAGAAACGGUGGGAGCUAAUAUCUCYUACUAAUGACGGUACCUGAAGAAUAAGCACCGGCUAACUACGUGCCAGCAGCCGCGGUAAUACGUAGGGUGCAAGCGUUAAUCGGAAUUACUGGGCGUAAAGCGUGCGCAGGCGGUUUUGUAAGUCUGUCGUGAAAGCCCCGGGCUCAACCUGGGAAUUGCGAUGGAGACUGCAAGGCUUGAAUCUGGCAGAGGGGGGUAGAAUUCCACGUGUAGCAGUGAAAUGCGUAGAGAUGUGGAGGAACACCGAUGGCGAAGGCAGCCCCCUGGGUCAAGAUUGACGCUCAUGCACGAAAGCGUGGGGAGCAAACAGGAUUAGAUACCCUGGUAGUCCACGCCCUAAACGAUGUCUACUAGUUGUCGGGUUUUAAUUAACUUGGUAACGCAGCUAACGCGUGAAGUAGACCGCCUGGGGAGUACGGUCGCAAGAUUAAAACUCAAAGGAAUUGACGGGGACCCGCACAAGCGGUGGAUGAUGUGGAUUAAUUCGAUGCAACGCGAAAAACCUUACCUACCCUUGACAUGGUCGGAAGCCUGAAGAGAUUCGGGUGUGCUCGAAAGAGAACCGACACACAGGUGCUGCAUGGCUGUCGUCAGCUCGUGUCGUGAGAUGUUGGGUUAAGUCCCGCAACGAGCGCAACCCUUGUCAUUAGUUGCUACAUUUAGUUGAGCACUCUAAUGAGACUGCCGGUGACAAACCGGAGGAAGGUGGGGAUGACGUCAAGUCCUCAUGGCCCUUAUGGGUAGGGCUUCACACGUCAUACAAUGGUACAUACAGAGGGCCGCCAACCCGCGAGGGGGAGCUAAUCCCAGAAAGUGUAUCGUAGUCCGGAUCGCAGUCUGCAACUCGACUGCGUGAAGUUGGAAUCGCUAGUAAUCGCGGAUCAGCAUGUCGCGGUGAAUACGUUCCCGGGUCUUGUACACACCGCCCGUCACACCAUGGGAGCGGGUUUUACCAGAAGUAGGUAGCUUAACCGCAAGGGGGGCGCUUACCACGGUA